rnacentral:rRNA from 1 species
UAACUACUGGAAACGGUAGCUAAUACCGCAUAACGUCGCAAGACCAAAGUGGGGGACCUUCGGGCCUCAUGCCAUCAGAUGUGCCCAGAUGGGAUUAGCUAGUAGGUGGGGUAACGGCUCACCUAGGCGACGAUCCCUAGCUGGUCUGAGAGGAUGACCAGCCACACUGGAACUGAGACACGGUCCAGACUCCUACGGGAGGCAGCAGUGGGGAAUAUUGCACAAUGGGCGCAAGCCUGAUGCAGCCAUGCCGCGUGUGUGAAGAAGGCCUUCGGGUUGUAAAGCACUUUCAGCGGGGAGGAAGGCG